GAUGAACGCUAGCGGCAGGCUUAAUACAUGCAAGUUGAGGGGCAGCAUGAUAUACGCGAGUAUAUUGAUGGCGACCGGCGGACGGGUGAGUAAUAGGUAGGAGACCUACCUCAUACAGGGGGAUAGCAUAGAGAAAUCUGUGGUAAUACCCCAUGAGGUUAUAUGAAUAGAGGCAUAUAAUCAAAAGCAUAAGCGAUUAUGCGGUAUGAGAGGGGCCUACUGACCAUUAGCUAGUUGGUGAGGUAAGGGCUCACCAAGGCGAUGAUAGAUAGGCGGCCUUAACGGGUGGUCGCCCACACUGGGAUUGAGAUACGGCCCAGACUCCUACGGGAGCAGCAGUCGAGAAUAGUCUACAAUGGCCGGAAGGCUGAUAGUGCGACGCCGCGUGAACGAGGGAGCCCUUCGGGGUGUAAAGUUCUUUUCGUAUUACGAGCAGUGCUAUAUAUAUGGAUAGUAUAUAUAGAGGAUAGU
rnacentral:rRNA from 1 species